rnacentral:rRNA from 1 species
AACGUAGGUGGCGAGCGUUAUCCGGAAUUACUGGGCGUAAAGCGUGUGUAGGCGGAUCGUUAAGUACCUUGUGAAAUCCCACGGCUCAACCGUGGAACUGCUGGGUAUACUGGCGAUCUUGAGCCACCUAGGGGCGAGCGGAACAAGCGGUGGAGCGGUGAAAUGCGUAGAUAUCGCUUGGAACGCCAACGGUGAAAACAGCUCGCUGGGGGUGUGCUGACGCUGAGACACGAAAGCCAGGGGAGCGAACGGG